AGCAGUCGCCGGGGAAUACGAAGGGGGCUAGCGUUGUUCGGAUUUACUGGGCGUAAAGCGCACGUAGGCGGAUCGAUCAGUCAGGGGUGAAAUCCCAGAGCUCAACUCUGGAACUGCCUUUGAUACUGUCGAUCUGGAGUAUGGAAGAGGUGAGUGGAAUUCCGAGUGUAGAGGUGAAAUUCGUAGAUAUUCGGAGGAACACCAGUGGCGAAGGCGGCUCACUGGUCCAUUACUGACGCUGAGGUGCGAAAGCGUGGGGAGCAAACAGGAUUAGAUACCCCAGUAGUCCCUGUCUCUUAUACA
rnacentral:rRNA from 1 species